UUUGUUAUAUUACUGUGUUACUUUCAAAAAAUCGAAUCUACGAGAUGGAAUUCAACCUGCUUCAAAAAAAGCAGCUAUUGCUUGGACUCUUCUGCUCGAGACUUCUCAUGCACGGAUACCGUUCAUGAACUGAGCGAUUUCACAUAAGGCAAUGACUUUGUGGUACUACUAUCAUUGGCAACGAUUGCUGUGUGGUUCUAUUAUGGCCAAGAGAUGAUAGUGGGACAUUUUUUAAAUAUAAUGUGGGGAAACCGAAAUUACAAGAGGAUUUUGGGAGCUGGAUCUUCAACCAUUGCUCAGAUCGACCAAGCCAAAUUGGACAAACAAAAAUAUAAUCGUGGCAGCAGAGUUGUAAGUCAUUGAAUUUUGGAUCUGGUAAAUACCCCACCUCUCCCCAAAGAAAAAAAAUACAGAUGGUAUUAGUGUUAAAUACUAGGGUGAAAACAUUAGUUUUAGCAAUAAAAGGAAAUGUUGUCGUUGAUAGUGAAAUCUAUAUCUAGUGUUUCAAAAGUUAUGCCAUGCUAAUUGCAGAGGAAUAUCUACUUAGAAUAGUCAAUCAUAACAUGGAUUUUGUAGGUAAGCUAGGAUUUAAUUUGGGUUAGUAUUUACUUCUCAGCCGUCAUGAAGUGGCUGGUUAUUUUAGUACAAACUAAUUUUUGGUCAAUUCAACUAUAGCUCUUGAUGAUAUGUAUACAAAAAAAAAAAAAAAGAAAAAAAGAAAUAGAAUUCAAUUGGUGGCCAGCUAAGGAUUGGAUGAGAUGAAGAGGUCACUUACAUGAAUUUGCAGAUCACUUGUGCCAAUUUUUGUAGUGACGGUUUUGUCGUCAUAACAACAUCGACUUGAUGGCAUCCUUGAUAGAAGUGAUCUGAAGACAGUAAGUAUAGAGCAUGCAAUUUCUCAUUUGUAAAGAUCAAUCAGAUAUCAUCUAUGCAGUCCACUCUUUGGAUGAAGAAUGAAUAGAAGUCAAUAUGGCGUCAGAGUAAUGUGUAAAAUACUCUAAAAACGCUCAACCUUUCAUAGUCAUAACAUCUGAACCAGUAAAUUUUGUAACCUCAAACUUGCAUUUUUGGAUUCUACGCAUCAAAAACUAUAUUUCAACCUAAUUUUGUAGUAUUUCAAUUAAGUAGUAGCAUCUCCAUAUUAGUGCUAAUAUAAAAACGCAUACAUAGAUAUUUUUAAAUUCGCAAUAAAAAGAAAAUUUUUUCUUUCACUUCCAGAUAACAAGAAUGCGAUUUUGUUCCUCCAAAAUCUUAGGGUUUCUUCAGUAUGGAGCGGUGGAAUUGGACUCUGGCUAGCUUA
rnacentral:misc_RNA from 1 species